UGAAUACGAGACGCUAAGGCGUCGAAGUAGUGUAUGUCAUACUUCCAAGAAAAGCUUGCACUGUCAUAGAUAAAAAACGCCUGUACCAUAACCGACACAGGUGGGUAGGUAGAGUAUACUAAGGGGCGCGAGAUAACUCUCUCUAAGGAACUCGGCAAAAUAACUCCGUAACUUCGGGAGAAGGAGUGCCUUAUUCGUAAGGUUGCAAUAACAAGAUCCAAGCAACUGUUUAUCAAAAACACAGGUCUCCGCUAAGUCGUAAGACGAUGUAUGGGGGCUGACGCCUGCCCAGUGCCAGAAGGUUAAAGAAGUUGGUUAGCAAUUGCGAAGCUGAUAACUGAAGCCCUGGUGAACGGCGGCCGUAACCAUAACGGUCCUAAGGUAGCGAAAUUCCUUGCCGGGUAAGUUCCGACCCGCACGAAAGGCGUAAUGAUUUGGAUACUGUCUCGGAGAGGGGCUCGGUGAAAUAGACUUGUCUGUGAAGAUGCGGACUACCUGCACCAGGACAGAAAGACCCUAUGAAGCUUUACUGUAACUUGAAAUUGAAAUUGGACUUUAUUCGCGCAGCAUAGGUGGGAGGCGUUGAUUAUAAUCUUGCGGGAUUAUUGGAGCCAUCAGUGAGAUACCACUCUUGUAAUGUUAGAUUUCUAACUUUGAAUCAUUAUCUGGUCAAAGAACAGUUUCAGGCGGGCAGUUUGACUGGGGCGGUCGCCUCCUAAACGGUAACGGAGGCGUACAAAGGUUUCCUCUGAACGGUUAGAAAUCGUAUCUAGAGUGUAAAGGCAUAAGGAAGCUUGACUGUGAGACCUACAAGUCGAGCAGGGACGAAAGUCGGUCUUAGUGAUCUGACGGUACUGAGUGGAAAGGCCGUCACUCAACGGAUAAAAGUUACUCUAAGGAUAACAGGCUGAUCUCCCCCAAGAGUUCACAUCGACGGGGAGGUUUGGCACCUCGAUGUCGGCUCAUCGCAUCCUGGGGCGGUAGUACGUCCCAAGGGUUGGGCUGUUCGCCCAUGAAAGCGGUACGCGAGCUGGGUUCAGAACGUCGUGAGACAGUUCGGUCCAUAUCCGGUGUAGGCGUUAGAAUAUUGAGAGGAGCCUUCUUUAGUACGAGAGGACCGAGAAGGACAUACCUCUGGUGUACCAGUUAUCGUGCCAACGGUAAACGCUGGGUAGCUAUGUAUGGAGUGGAUAACCGCUGAAAGCAUCUAAGUGGGAAGCCCACCUCAAGAUAAG
rnacentral:rRNA from 1 species